rnacentral:lncRNA from 1 species
GUGCAAACAAUAUAACAGUAAAACUUUAGUAAUACUAAAUAGCACAAUUUCAUGCAAAUUCCAAUUAUUCUAUUGUUUUAUUAGCACUAUUUUGUACUAUUUAGUAAAAAGUGUUUCACGGAUUAAUUGUUUGCACUCUAGUAAUGGAAUCACGCAAGUGAACAUCAAAAGAAAGCUCGGGCUGCCAUUGAAGCGUAAAAACAGUCACUUCAAAUAAUGUUCCUGAUCUGUUCCUGAUAUUUCAGGGUGUGCUUACGUGAAGAUUGUCGGUGAUUGUUCUAUCAAUAAUAUUACAAUAAUCAAGUUAAUAAGAUUGAAAUCAUUUCCAAGAACAACAAGAAUAACAAGAAACCUUCUGCCAUGCUGGUUGACGAACUAAAAGGAACGAAAAUGCUUUGAUAACCUCAACCAAUAUGGCGGCUAUGACGUCAACAAGAUGGCUGCUAUGACGUCAUAUACAAAGCCAUGUUAACUGGGUUUGUUCCUCUCUUUACCCCACCAGGUGUAGAGUUAUUCACUACCGUAAAAAAUAUCAUAAUUUCCAGGGUUUGCGGACUUAGUCUCUAAUCAGGGAGUUGCUUGUUUUGUCAUUAUAAUUUCUGCUUUUGUUUUCUAUUUCAAAAGUAUCCGAGCUACCCGUACAUUCUAAAAACUGUGGUAUUUCAGUUUAAGAUGACAGACUAAGGCCCCAUUUACACGAAGCCGGAUAUUUAUUUAUCCGGGUAAAAAAAUGUGCGUUUACAUACGGCUUCGUGUAAACGCUCAUCGUUUUCGCAUCGUUUUUGACCGUUUACACGAAAACGCUCCAUCGACUCGAAAACGCUCAUAGGAGCUAAAUGAGCAUGCGCAUAGUUCCUGAGCCUGCGAUCUCCCUUGUUUAGUGACGUCAGCGUUCAUAUCCGGCUUCGAGUGUUUAAACGGAAACGCAUAGCCAGCGUUUUCAAAAAUAUCCGGCUUCGUGUAAACGGGGCCUAAGACUGGCAGGUCGCGAUUGUGAGAAAAUAAAAAUUCCUAGCAGUGGGCUCCUGGCUAGCAAUAAACCUCUUUAACAUGACCGUAAUGUUCUCCCACUUUAGACCACGUGUCAUUCUCUUGAGAACAAGAUUCUUCGUUUGAGUUGUAUCCAUAUUCAUGUGUCUUCUCAUGUGCAAUAGUUAAACAAAGUAAUGAUACUCUUGGGAAUGACACGUGGUCAGAAAUGGGCAAAACAUUACGCCGGAGGUAAAGAGGCCUAUUGUUGUACUGGCUCAUACACCAAACAAAGUAGAUGGAUACUCCAAUUCUAGAGUAACUCCUGCAUUAGCGAACAUCAGUAAGCAUUAGUGCUGUAUCCAACUUACCCAGUGAUCAGUCCAGAUAUUCAUGAUGACAGCGGGACCCAUGGAUCGUGCCGGAUUGAUUCCACAACCAGUAAAACGAAUCUAAAAGAUAAAACAGUUAGGCCAUGAUGCCUUCCAUAAGUCUGGCUUACAUUUGUGUCUCAAGCAUAAUCAUAGCAACAGCGCGCAAGUGCAGAUGAUACUUCAAGCGACUGCAAAAAGAAGGAUGGGACUUUACUCAUCUACUUUACUCACCCCAACCANAUGACAGACAGUCACACAAAAUCCAAUAGCCAAAGGGACCUCAUAGCCAUAAUGUUGACGCCUGGGAUCAGUACAGGCAAACACCGUCAACACCAACAAGAAUGUUAACACGAAUUCGAUCCCAACAGCCUGACCUGUAGAGACACCUNNUGAUGGGACUGUAGCUCCUAGAGUUCCUCGCUUACUUGACGGUGUAAGGCCAUAGAGCAUAGCUGAUCCUGCUAUACCUAGAAUGAUAGUAUACAAUAGUCAACCCUCACAGGAUUCGGUAGCCGACAGUGUACAUAUUUCAAGCAUAGCAACGGUAAUAUAUUUAUUGACGAUGAAUAAACACCGAUUUCAACUA